UAGGUGAUCUUAGCUUCCCCUCGUUUGUAUGGUACAUGGCUAUAAAUCCUCCACGUCAAUUGCCUUGCAACACAUACUUUGGCUUUGACUUUUCUACAACCUUAUUCUUCUCAGCAUAUCUGAUAUCACACCACUUUAGCCUCAACUUUGGCCCUUUUCAUUUUUCUUCUUUUGUUUUUUUUUUUUUUUGUUUUUGCUUCGUUGGCUUCUCUCUCACACAGUUUUGCGAUCUUCUUUCUUAAUUUCUUUUCUUUUCUUCCAACGCUACAUCGGUCUUUUGGAAAUGGAAGGGAGAAUUCCUCAUGGAUGUAGAGAAUACAUAAAACUCUUCUGCGUGGAGGUAGGGGAAGCAGAGAUUUUUUUUUUUUUUUACUUUGGAGAUGGGCACGCUGCUUAUGGUGAUGCAGGUUGUGGGAGCAGAUCUGGUGGAAAAUACCAAAUAACACGCCUCUUCGCUUUGCUCCCUCCCAGUAGCUUUUUAUUUCUCUCUUUCUUCACUUGCUUCGCCCUUCAAACUUCAUUGAUCCUGUAGCCUUCCCUUAGGUGUAUCAAGGAAACAUUUUGGACUUAAUUUCUUAAGACCCCACCAAAUCUUCGUCUGCUUUUCUAGAUCGGCCAAGGCUCCAAUUUUUAUUUUUUUUUUAAAUUGCAAGCUUCAUCGGAUCUUCUUGUUCUUUCUCCAAAAUUUCACCUUUAAUCCUUCACCACCCAUGUUGCUAAAUUUCAAGAAGGGUAGUGUUGGUGAGAUAGUGAUGUCGGCAAAAGAGAAGAGUUUUUCGUUGGUGAGCUACAGAGGGGUUCCGUUGGCAAAGGGUUGAAGAUGCUCGAAAUUGUCCGCCAUACAUGGGGAUGAGAUUUAGGCAGGACAAAGUCUCAUAGCGCUUACAGCCGUGGGACCUGUCGGUAUUGAUGUUGGUGGAGCAGUGUUCAUGACGAAGAGAAGCAAUGCCUUGUUUGAAGGAAAUUGAUGUCGAAUGCGACGAUAAGGUGUUCUUUGCACAAGCUCGAUAAAGUCAGAUGCGUCGCUCACCUUGGUGAGUUAAUAUUUUUUUUUUUGCCGAUCUCUCGGAUGUAUUUGGCGACAUGUUGAAUGAAGCGUCGUUGAUUGUGUAGGUUGGCUCUUCCUUAGGAGAUCAUAGAAAUACCGCGAUGUACUGACCCAUAAGGUUGAGCCAUUGUAAUUGAAUUUGAAGACUCCUUAUUGAUUCCAAUAGUCGCAAGACAGGGAAAUCAGUUCGUAGCGCGACCGUGCCUGAUAUUGAGUUGGCAUUGGUGUUGGGAGUAGAAGUAGCGUACUUGACUAUAAAUUUGACUUGGGUCCAUAAGAAAAGAUGAUGAUGAAUGAAAGGCUAUCUUGAAACUCUAUGCAAAUUGUACCACAUUAAGGAUGCUUCAAUUUUCUUGAGUUGCUUGAUUGUUGGUUAAUUUGAUGAGAUUACGUUUGCCAAGAUUUGUUUCGAUGAAGCUGUAACCAUGAGCGAUAAGUGGUAUUGCUAGCCGUAUAGCGCAUUUGAGAUGGAAUGGAGCAAAAAUAUCACUUGGCAAUGUAGUAUAAGGAUGUAACAUAGCUGUUGUAUGUGCUGGCACUGGCAGCCCCCAAUAUUGUGUUAUCGUGGUGAAUGCUAAUAAAAUGCAGAGUCACAAGUUGUUGUUGCUUCAUGUUUGUUGUGAUGAAGAGGAGAGUGUUGGCGAAACCAUUAUUAAUGAUUCCAUAGAACGUCUAUUAUUUGAUCGUGGUAUUGCCCAUUUAUAACAGCCCUCACGUCUUGGGCCUUGAUAGGACCAGAUUGACCAUGAUAGCAUGAGAGGUCGCCUUGUAAAAUAGCUGUUGUGUACGCUAAAAUGAUGAAUGGCGUAACUUGUGAGCAAGUAGGAGAUUCCCCUUUGUUGCGUGGCUAUAAAAAAUGUCCAAUGAAACGUCGUUGUGUCGAGAUGCUUUCGCUUGUGGUAAUGUCGCAGCUCCAUUUGUUUGAGAAUGAAGCCGCGGAUUUCUUUGACAACAUAAAAUCUAUUGUGAGAAGUCAAAACUCAUUGCCAACCCCUUUUCAUGCCAAUAGGGAUUAUUGAGUGCGCCGCAUUGCCGUCUUGCAUAGAAUAAGUAUAUUUUGGGAGAUACACCAUUGUUGAGUGGGAACUUUGUAACUCACUUGGGUGACUUUGGCUUAGAGAAUUGUGGUGCUGUCGUUAGGACUUUCAUCCACAAGGCCAAUCUCAUUACCAAUGCAUCAUUUUCCGAGGUUGAAGCUACUGCAAACAGCAACAUAAAGCUGCCACGGCCGCUAUUAGUAACUUUGAACCCUUUUUGGUCCGUUUCUCACUUGCGGCUUCAAAGUAAAGAAGAGAGCGACUGCAAGGCAAUGUCUCAAAGAUGGUGAUGUUGGAUAGGGACUACGACAUUGCUUCAACUUUUUCCUUCAGCUCCUUUCUUGCUUUCCCUUUUUUUUUUUUUUUUUUGAUUGUCUUGUUUUGAGCCCCAAGCUUUGAAAUUUCGAACUAGUUGAAAUGUGUAAUAUGGCUUGCUGCCUUAGAAACAUUUUCUAUUGUAUUUCACCCUUGUGGACAGCACACUUUUGUAUAGAGCAGCUCCUGUCUAAUUAUAUUGGUGCUACUUUGAGUUUGUACUGUCAUGGUUAGUAGGCACAAUUUGUAUUUUGUACAAAGAAACACAUAUACGAUGUCUCAACAUGUAAUUUGAAUUUUGGAAUGAAAACAAUGAUUUGUAUCUCAAGGAUAUGAAUAGUUUGUAUUUUGUACCUUGAGAACGAGUUU